UGACGACCAUAGCAAGGCGGCCCCACCCCUUCCCAUCCCGAACAGGACCGUGAAACGCCUUCGCGCCGAUGAUAGUGCGGAGCUCCCGCGUGAAAGUAGGUCAUCGUCA
rnacentral:rRNA from 1 species